UACGUAGGGGGCAAGCGUUGUCCGGAAUCAUUGGGCGUAAAGGGCGCGUAGGCUGCGGGGCAAGUCGGGUGUGAAAUCUCAGAGCUCAACUCUGAAACUGCACUCGAUACUGCUUUGCUCGAGGACUGGAGAGGAGAUUGGAAUUCACGGUGUAGCAGUGAAAUGCGUAGAUAUCGUGAGGAAGACCAGUGGCGAAGGCGGAUCUCUGGACAGUUCCUGACGCUGAGGCGCGAAGGCCGGGGGAGCAAACGGG
rnacentral:rRNA from 1 species